rnacentral:ncRNA from 2 species
UAGAAAAGUAGAGGUUGCGUGAUUGAUGAGUAAGCUGUUGGAUAUGUUCUGGCAUAGAAGAAGGCAGUGGAAAGGUGAGAACGCCGAAGGAAUGGAUGCCAGAAUAUCAGUUCCUGGGAAUAUGGUGAAUAACCAUAUAACUGUCAUCUGAUCAAGUUUCUAUCCUAGUGUCAGAUGGGGAGCUACUUAGAGC